rnacentral:rRNA from 1 species
UAUUUUUUAAAAAAAAGUUUUAUUCUUGCUUUUAUUAUUUAUUAUUUAUUUAAUUUACAUGAUUUUUUUUUUCAGUAAUUGAUUUUAUUAUUUAUUAUAAAUGAUUAUUUAUUGAUUUAAUUUUUUUAGAAAAAUAUUGUGCCAGCAUUCGCGGUUAUACAUUUUAUGAAAUUAAAUAAUUUUGGUUUUUAUAUUAUUAUUUGAUUAAAUAUUUUUUUAUUAGGGUGAAAUUUAUAUUUUUUUUUUUUCUUUUUUUUUUAUUUUAAAAUUUUUUUAAAAACUAGGAUUAGAUACCCUAUUAUUAAUUUCUUAUUUUUUCUUGAUUAAUAUUAGUUAUGUUCUUUAAAAAUCAAAGAAUUUGGCGGUUAAUAAAAUCUUUUUAGAGGAACAUGUAUUUUAAUUGAUAAUCCACGAUAUUUUAUACCAAAUUUUAAUUUGUAUAUCUCUAUUGAUAGAAUAUUUUUUAAAAAAUUUUCUUUUUCUAUUUAAGUUUUAUUUUAGGUCAAGGUGCAGUUUUAUUUUGGUUUUUAUGUGUUACGUUAUUUUUAAUAAAUUUAUUUUUCUUUUUGAAUAAUUUUAGGAUUUAAUAGUAAAUUAAAUUAAUUAAUUUUUUUGAAUAAAGUUCUAAUUAAUGUACAUAUCGCCCGUCACUCCUUUAUAUAGGAUAAGUCGUAACAAAGUAGUUUUACUGGAAAGUGAGUCUAGAUUUUU